rnacentral:rRNA from 1 species
UUUAUCGGAGAGUUUGAUCCUGGCUCAGGACGAACGCUGGCGGCGUGCCUAAUACAUGCAAGUCGAGCGGACAGAUGGGAGCUUGCUCCCUGAUGUUAGCGGCGGACGGGUGAGUAACACGUGGGUAACCUGCCUGUAAGACUGGG